GUCCUGCGAUGUAUCUUCCCAAGUGGCGUGGAUGUGAGGAGACACGACAUUUCACCUGAUGUUCCAUGGGUGACCCUACUGGUGAUGUGGACCUGACCCUCCGCCAUGUAGCAGACAACCCCCCCUCAGGUCCUGCGAUGUAUCUUCCCAAGUGGCGUGGAUGUGAGGAGACACGACAUUUCACCUGAUGUUCCAUGGGUGACCCUACUGGUGAUGUGGACCUGACCCUCCGCCAUGUAGCAGACAACCCCCCCUCAGGUCCUGCGAUGUAUCUUCCCAAGUGGCGUGGAUGUGAGGAGACACGACAUUUCACCUGAUGUUCCAUGGGUGACCCUACUGGUGAUGUGGACCUGACCCUCCGCCAUGUAGCAGACAACCCCCCCUCAGGUCUUCCGGUGUAUCCUUCCUAAGUGGUGUGGAUGUGAAGAGACAGUUCCCUUGAUGUUCCCUGGGCAAUCUACUUACGUACAAUUCAAAUGCAUUACAAAUUUUAAUAAAAACCACAGGAAACUUCUAUUUUUAAAAGUUUAUU